rnacentral:rRNA from 1 species
UUCCUACGGGGGGCAGCAGUGGGGAAUCUUGCGCAAUGCGCGAAAGCGUGACGCAGCAACGCCGCGUGGGGGAAGACGGCCUUCGGGUUGUAAACCCCUUUCAGGAGGGACGAAGGUUCGCCGGUUAAUAGCCGUGCGGAUUGACGGUACCUCCACAAGAAGCUCCGGCUAACUACGUGCCAGCAGCCGCGGUAAUACGUAGGGAGCAAGCGUUGUCCGGAAUCAUUGGGCGUAAAGCGCGCGUAGGUGGCCAUGUAAGUCCGCUGUGAAAGUCAAAGGCUCAACCUUUGAAAGCCGGUGGAUACUGCAUGGCUAGAGUACGGAAGAGGCGAGUGGAAUUCCUGGUGUAGCGGUGGAAUGCGCAGAUAUCAGGAGGAACACCAAUAGCGAAGGCAGCUCGCUGGGACGUUACUGACACUGAGGCGCGAAAGCGUGGGGAGCGAACAGGAUUAGAUACCCUUGUAGUC